rnacentral:piRNA from 1 species
UGCUGCUCGCUGGUUCUUCCU